UACGUAGGGGGCAAGCGUUGUCCGGAUUUAUUGGGCGUAAAGAGCUCGUAGGCGGUUUGUCGCGUCUGCUGUGAAAACCCGAGGCUCAACCUCGGGCCUGCAGUGGGUACGGGCAGACUAGAGUGCGGUAGGGGAGAUUGGAAUUCCUGGUGUAGCGGUGGAAUGCGCAGAUAUCAGGAGGAACACCAAUGGCGAAGGCAGAUCUCUGGGCCGUAACUGACGCUGAGGAGCAAGGAAGAUGGCACUGGGGAACGCGAAGAAU
rnacentral:rRNA from 1 species